UACAGGGGGAGCAAGCGUUGUUCGGAUUUACUGGGCGUAAAGGGCGCGUAGGCGGUCAGCACAAGUCAGUUGUGAAAUCUCCGAGCUUAACUCGGAAAGGUCAACUGAUACUGUGCGACUAGAGUGCAGAAGGGGCAACUGGAAUUCUUGGUGUAGCGGUGAAAUGCGUAGAUAUCAAGAGGAACACCUGCGGCGAAGGCGGGUUGCUGGGCUGACACUGACGCUGAAGCGCGAAAGCGUGGGGAGCGAACAGG
rnacentral:rRNA from 1 species